CGACCGGCGCACGGGUGAGUAACACGUAUGCAACCUGCCCUCUUCAGGGGGACAACCUUCCGAAAGGGAGGCUAAUCCCGCGUAUAUCGGUUUCGGGCAUCCGAGAUCGAGGAAAGAUUCAUCGGAAGAGGAUGGGCAUGCGGCGCAUUAGCUAGUUGGCGGGGUAACGGCCCACCAAGGCGACGAUGCGUAGGGGUUCUGAGAGGAAGGUCCCCCACACUGGUACUGAGACACGGACCAGACUCCUACGGGAGGCAGCAG
rnacentral:rRNA from 1 species